GACGAACCGUGCGAACGUUGUUCGGAAUCACUGGGCUUAAAGGGCGCGUAGGCGGGGAAUCAAGUCCGAGGUGAAAUCUUUCGGCUCAACCGGAAAAUAGCCUUGGAUACUGGUUUUCUCGAGGGAGGUAGGGGCAGCGGGAACUUCCGGUGGAGCGGUGAAAUGUGUUGAUAUCGGAAGGAACGCCGGUGGCGAAAGCGCGCUGCUGGACCUCUUCUGACGCUGAGGCGCGAAAGCUAGGGGAGCGAACGGG
rnacentral:rRNA from 1 species